rnacentral:rRNA from 1 species
UACAGAGGGGGCAAGCGUUAUUCGGAAUUAUUGGGCGUAAAGGGCGCGUAGGCGGCUUCGCAAGUGGAAGGUGAAAUCCCUCGGCUUAACCGAGGAACUGCCCUCCAACUGCGUUGCUUGAGGCCGGGAGAGGUGAGUGGAAUUCCCAGUGUAGCGGUGAAAUGCGUAGAUAUUGGGAGGAACACCAGUGGCGAAGGCGGCUCACUGGACCGGUUCUGACGCUGAUGCGCGAAAGCGUGGGGAGCAAACGGG